rnacentral:piRNA from 1 species
GAAUGGUGUGUGUGAGGCUUAUAGUGU